rnacentral:misc_RNA from 1 species
AACAGUAAAGGACUUGCUCAGUCUUCUGGCAAACCUAUACUUAUAUCAUGAUCACACCGCUGAACCCAGCAAACAGUCGUCUAAUGAACCUAAGUAUGGAGACAUUUUUUCAAGUGUGCUAUUUUCUAAUACUAGCGAAUGUAUUCAAGCAAACACUUCCUUGUGAAUAUGGAAAUAUGAACACCGGCGAAGUAUUAUCUCAAAACGAAGGCAGUUUUUUAAAUAUUAGUUAUCUUCUAAAUAUUAGUGAAAACUCAGUAUCUACAGACACAACACGUCUCUAUGUUGAAGUGUGCCAAAAUAACAACAGAUCACUUCUGUGCGUGUUUAUAAGGCCAAAGCAGUCUCAGGACUUCACUGUGAAAUAUAAUAAUGUCAGAGAUGACACAGUGUGUGUAGCAGAGCGUCGCUACAUCACCAGCUCCAUGAGGACCUGGGAGAUAAAGAUUUCACAGCUACUCACUCGGUCCAUCACUGCUAUAUAUCUCGACAUUCAGGAUAAAAGACUACAGAGACAGACAGUGCUGCAGAUACCCAUUGAUGUGACAUACCCACCCAUAGUCACUAGUCUGACUGUAGAUGGACAAGAAGUAAACAACAAAUAUCUCAUAAAUGAGGGUCAGAAGGUCAUGGUCUCCUGCUCGUUUGAGAGAGGAAAUCCUCCUGUUGCCUUUGGACUUUUUGACAAAAAUAUGAAGAAGCUCGCUACAGAUGUAGACAAAAUUGGAGCAGGAAUAGUCAGGGGUAAAGGUCAUCUAAACAUCUCGUUUUCAGUCAUCUGUGAAGAUGUCUGGCCGACAUAUCAUUGUGAAGGAAGAGAGUCGGAGCAAAAUAAAUCCGUGUCCUUUCUUGUCAGAUGUGCUCCUCAGUUUGUUGAUAGUCCUGUCACACUGGUCACAUCAGAAGUCGAGAAAACAAAAUUUUAUGUCAAAGCCUACACAGCAGCAUUCAAUGAAUGUCGUCUGUCAUUACCCCUGUUAGGGGCUACACUAAUAGUGAAACUGAGAUGUAGUCUUACUGGUGACCCUCCUGAUCUGAUCUUAAGACUUCACCUUCAUGGAAACCUUUCACAAGGAAGCUGGGAAAUAAUUCUUGGCAAUGAAAAAGGCUCUGCAAACACAACAGUCAGAAUUAUUGAAGAAUCUAGUAAGUAUAUUAAAUCAUGUUUAUUAUAUAAUGACUACACUGGAAUUUCAGUUAUGCUUAUCCUUUACACAGAAUAAACUACAAGCUGUUUUUGCUGUUAAAGUUAAAGAGAUGAUAGUGCAGGAAAUUGAAUAAUAAUUAGCCUGUUGUGUGGUUUUUUGUUGCUAUCCUCAUCUUUGCUGCUAUUUAAGAGAAAAUAAAGACUAAGAACGGUAAGUUUAUGUAAUAAAAUAAUGUAGUCUUAUAUUUAUAAUUUAUUAGAUGUUGGUUUCGAAAUAUUGCUCUGCUUUCUCUUAGAAUGAAGUUCUCUUACAUUUUUUCUUGUUUCUGACACGUGUCUUCCAAAGAGGUUACAGCGUCCUCGUGAAGAAAUACUUUCCCCUUGGUUUGCUUUAUUGUUUAUGGAAGUAACCUUUGGAAAUCAGUCUGAGUAGGACACGUUGAGUGUGACUAGUAAAUAUUGCAAAGAAAACCAGUAAGACCGAACCAGGUUAUCUGAAUUUUAUUUUAGAUCGUUUCUUUUAACUGAUUCUUUAAGAUGCUAACGUGUUCAAACAUCACAACGACAGUUAAUUAUUCCAACAUCCAAAUACUGAAUAAGUUGUAUGGUGCCUACCCUACUGUAUAUGCGUUGCCAUGGCAAUUAAAUUGCAACAUAACAAGAGUAAUAUGCUUUAAUCGCUUUUAACAUUUCUUUGGUUUGUUGUAAUGUUUGUCUUUGUUUUUAUGUUUUGGCAUACACUUGUUAUCACAGUUUCUCUGCUAUCAAUUCAAUUAACUUCAAAAGGCCUUCAUUGGUCAUAUUAUUUUUUCUCCAGCCUUUAAGCUUGAAGUUUUAGUUUUUGUGGCUUUAUAUGCCUAAUUUUUUUCAGAGUUAUUUUGUAUUUUCACUCGAAAUAAACCGACGGGAAGUAAUAGUUUCUAUGUUUGAGAAAGUUGAUGAUGAUGUUUUUGAGUAAACAUAUUGGUAUCAGUUCAUGAAGUUUAAAAGGUUAUCAAGGGUAUCCCGGAAGUGACGCGCGUUUUUAUCAACGACUUAAUUUAUUCAUCGCGCGGCGCCAAUUAACACCUGACCUCACCUGGUAACCGUAGGUUUUCUCGGCGCUAAUGAUUUGGACUUGCAGCCUACAAGGAGGAACUCUACACCUACUUCGUUGGCGUAAGGUUUUGUGUGUCAUACAAAGCAUACUUAGUUGCCUCUUUUUGUCUGUUUUUCUGGCUGUGUGUGUCUAUAUGUAUUAGAAUAUUAUAGCUACAUAAAUCAUGCAAUGCAUUUGUCAAAGUCCAAAGUUCGCAAGGAAUGAAAAUGUGCGAGAUAAGUUUAAAGCAAACAAGAAUGGACUUCAUGAUGUUUUGAACCUCACUACUCAGGGCAAAGUUGAUAGCUACUAUAACAGACUAUAAUAUCAGUGAACUUAAGUAAAGGGAAAAUUAGGAAACAUUGAAAAAAACGAUGAAAAGAGAUAAUGAAGUAGAAGCAUAUAAAGGAAUGUAGAAAGAAAAGGACCUAAAAGUAAAAUAUUGUUAAAGCAAAUAAAUUGACUGAAAAGUCUAGACAGACGAACAGGCAAGCAAGCGCGCUGAAAAAAAAGCGGAAAGAUUGAUAUACACAAUUACAGAGAGAGAAAGACUGUUCUUGUAAUCACAUUUAGAGUUCAUCAACAAAUGUUGCCUUGCUCUAACAGAGAAUAGGAAGAGUGUUUCCUGGCGAUAAGACUCACCAACGAGUACUUAGGUCUUAAAGUCGAGAGUGAAGCUGUUUGUAAUAAAAUGACAGAGUUGAGGACAGAAGCUUAUGUUUGUAAUCCCUUGGUUAUUGACUUUGAUGAGUUAGAUGUAUUAGGUUCGUUUCUCCUCCGAUGACAGUAAAGAGACUGUAGAGAUUUAACUGAGUAUUAGGAAAUGAGGAGACUGUUGCGGUCAACGAAAUGCAUGAAAAUUUUAAAUUAACAGAGCAAUCACAUAGAAAUUCUGAAGUACAAUUAUUUCCAAAUUAUGAACCUCCCCGACUCGUGGGAGAAAAUUAACUAGAAGAUCGAGGUACAGAUAUUUAACGCCGAGCCAGCAACUGCCUCUGUAUGACCGUUGAGCAGCCCACCAUAGAAAUGGUCCGACACUUUGACCAGAAACGGCCAAUAACAAAAAAACAUGAACAAUAUCUUUGUAUAAAUAUAAAUACAUCGCUCGAAAACUAAACUUUCCAAAAAAAACUUUUUAAAUUGAAUUACACAUUUUAAGAUAUUAUAGAUUUAAACAUAUUUUUUGUGAACAAAUGAAGCUUAAGUAGAAGUAACGAAAAACACCCGGCAUUUGUCUGACGAAUGGCGGGAGAAUGAGAGAGGAGACUGUAAAGUUUAAUGGGGGAAGGGAGACUCUACUAAAUAUGAUAAUAGAAGUUUUCUCUUUUCAGUACUCAGCAGGUGAAAAACAUAAGAACUGUUUAGUGACACUCACUCAUUAGGGACUAAUUCUUCUUCAAUUUUUCUGUUUUAAUGUCAUGAAAGAGACUGGAUUUUACGUUGAUGAAUUAUCUGAUUUACUAUUAACUCGGAGACGCCAUCAUGUGGUAGGAAUGCUGACGACUGAUGAACAAGACAAAGUUUUAUACAACCUACAGUUCGUCCACGAUGACCAUCGGCAUCACAAAAGAACACAGCACGCAGACAUCAAAGUCACUACCAUCUUCCACCUCUCCAAGUCUACAAACAGAAGAUAGUAAAAUGUGUAAAGAUCAAGGGAUGGCUGAUGUAAGAAUACUGACAGAAAGAGAAACAAAAGAAGAUACUUUGCAACCAUCAGACACAUUUCUUGACGGAGCUUAGUAUAUCUGUAUAGUCUGUAACUCAACAGUUGUGUAUACCAUAUCUCCAUGUUGAGGCUGACAGAUGUCUACAUAGUUUUCUUGACACAUAUUUAAUGAAGAAUGGCUAAAUAUCCUGCAUUGAGAUCUCUUAUAGGAAAUGUUGGAGUAUCUUUGGAUGUGGCUGCAGUCUACAGGGUUGAUUACCUAGAGCUAGAGUUGCUUCUUUUUCUUUUAUUGUAAUCUACUAAUUAGUCAAUAAAAUGUUUCACUCGUGUGACAAAAAAAAGUAUUUAAUAUUUCUGUGAGCACUGGUCUGAUUUUCUCACCGUUUCCUCCAGCCUUUACCAGGGAAGGAAAGCUUUAUUAUUAUUACUGUUGUUGUUAGCUUUAUUGAAAUUGACGUGCAAGAAGAACGGAAUGAAAUAUGUGGCUUUUACAGGAACAUAUAUUAUUUCCGCGUUGUAACCUUCCAAGUGAAGAAAGAUGUUUGACUACAGCCUCUGGUUCACACUUGCCACUGCGAUGUUUUAUUGCUAUCUUAUACAAAUUAUGUAGUUUAUAUGACACGUAAGUCAUCAUGGUGUUUUACUUCUCUGAAGGGAUGUUAAAAAUUGUUAAGUAUAAUA